AUUAUUAUUACUAUUUACUGGCAUUUAAAAAGGAGCAUUGUACUCAUUUGGUUAGCACGCUACAUCUCUGUCUAUUAGGUCAAGUUUCUCAAAAAGCCAAGCGCUCUCUUUCCUCUCAAGCAAAAACCCAAAGCUAAAGAACUGGGCACAGACCCACCACCCUUCUGCCCACAAUUCACUCGCCGUCUUCCUCCUCCAUGCCUCCUCGCGGCCGUAGCUCUCCAUCACUUCUCCUCAACCUUCCAUUACUGAUCCUACUCUUAUCCAUCUUUGCAUUCCUUCUAUUCUUCUUCUUCUUGGCAAUCCCUUCUUUUUUCUCUUUUUCCUCUACUCAUACUAAACUUCGACCCAAUACUGUCAAGAAGAGUUGGGACUCUCUCAACGUAUUUCUUGUCUUGUUUGCGAUCAUCUGCGGGAUCUUUGCCAGAAGAAAUGACGAAGAAUCUGCUCCUAACCGCAACGGAAGAAAUGACGAAGAAUCUGCUCCUAACCGCAACGUUUUACAUGGGGUUCACGAUAAUAAAGAAGAUCGCCAUCCUGUUUCCAAUCAUUGGUUUGAUCAGUUAGCGGCUGCGACACCUGCUGCUGGUAUGCGGAGGCUAAAGAGGAGCAGUAGCUCCUACCCAGAUCUGAGGCAAGAGUCUUUUUGGGAAUAUGGCGAUGACCGGUCUCGGUUCUUUGACGAUUUUGAAAUAAGCAAGUAUCGGUCAUCGGCAUCUUCCGAGUACAAUAAUAUUUGUCAUGGCAGGCAGCGAAGUGUAUUUGAAGAAUCUAAUGUUAAGGAAAUUCCUGUUGAUCCUCCACCGCCACCAGGGGAAAGCAAUCACAAACAAAGGCGAACUUGUAAAACUGUUCCACGUAAAGAAAAGGUAGAGAAAGCGGAUGAAAAUGAUUAUGAAUUCCCAAGAAAAGAAAAUUCUCCACCAACGCCAUCUCCUCCACCACCACCACCCCCGCGCCCGCCACCACCUCCGCCUCCGCCAAUUAUCAAGGCGACUCGAUCAGAGCGUAAGUACUGGAGUAAAAAGACUAAUGCGACUAAGGAGUUAAAGAUGGCUUUGAUUUCAUUUUACCCUCAGAGUAAAAGAAAGAAGAAGCAGAAAUCAAACAGUUUAUACGAUGACACACUUCACUAUCAGCCUGAAUCACCAUCCUUUGGUAUAUCUCCACCUUCGCAACCUCCGCCUCCUCCUCCUCCUCCACCUCCAACACCACCACCACUUCCCGGAAUUUGUGAUUGCCCAUAGGAUUCUCCACGGGAGGAGGGAAAAGGCCGUUUAAAUUGCGAGCCUACAUAAACAUCGUCUCUUAUUCUCUUCAUACUUUCCCCUUCUCCUUGGUCUUUCAGAAAGAGUGAGCCAGAUCUCAGAAGAGAAGCAGUAACUAGGCUACAAUUGAUCGCAUAUAUUUGCA
rnacentral:misc_RNA from 1 species